rnacentral:rRNA from 1 species
UCUGGAGACAGGUGGCUGCAUGGCUGUCGUCAGCUCGUGUCGUGAGAUGUUGGGUUAAGUCCCGCAACGAGCGCAACCCUUGCCUUAGUUGCCAGCAGUUCGGCUGGGCACUCUAAAGGGACUGCCGGUGUUAAACCGGAGGAAGGUGGGGAUGACGUCAAGUCCUCAUGGCCUUUAUGACCAGGGCUACACACGUACUACAAUGGCCGAUACAAAGGGCAGCGACACUGCGAGGUGAAGCCAAUCCCGUAAAAUCGGUCUCAGUCCGGAUUGGAGUCUGCAACUCGACUCCAUGAAGUUGGAAUCGCUAGUAAUCGUGGAUCAGCAUGCCACGGUGAAUACGUUCCCGGGCCUU